rnacentral:tRNA from 1 species
GGUGAGAUGGCCGAGCGGUCUAAGGCGCCGCACUCAAGCUUCAGAAGCUUCCUCAGGAUCUCAGUUCGAGGAGUAUUGCGGUCUAGUAAUAGGCGGGGGUUCGAAUCCCCCUCUCAUCA